CUUACCGGGUCCGGACACACUGAGGAUUGACAGGUGCAAGGAGCCUUGGCUCUGUAAAUUUGCUAGUCCUUUCAUGAUUGUGUGAUAGGUGGUGCAUGGCCGUUCUUAGUUCGUGGAAUAAUCUGUCUGCUUAAUUGCGUUUUUUCAAUUGAGCCUUGGCACCCAAUACGCCAGCUGUGUUAGUGUUGUUGGUUAGCUUUCAGCUUUGCUGUCUGCUGCCACAAUGUUGCCAGUUUGGUGGGUGAUCAGGGCCUUCUGAAACGAACGAGACCCCAACCCUUCUUUUUCAAUGUCAUACAACGAAUCUUUUCUGUUGUUUCUUUUAUUUUGAUUUUGGUAGUUGCUUCGGUGACUCCAAGUUGAAAUUUCACGACGUUGUUAACAGAAGGGGACUGUUACAUCCAAAUGUAAAGGAAGGUUGGGGCAAUAACAGGUCUGUGAUGCCCUUAGAUGUUCCGGGCUGCACACGUGCUACAAUGAUCUAUGCACUAAGCAUCUUUUAGUUCCGUAAUGUGCGUCGAGGUUGUUUGCCUUCGGGCGGCGAUUCUCUGACGACACAUAUGCGGCAUGCCUACUUCGAGAGUUAGUAGAUAAUCACUUGGUAAUAUAGAUUUCCUUUGCAUUGUGGCAUUGUUCCUUCUACUUGUAGUAGGGGCAGUGUCAUGUGUUUUCAAAUUAUGACUUCGUAGUGGGGACAGACCAUUGUUAAUUGUUGGUCUCGCUUUAACUAGGAAUGCCUUGUACAGGCGGUUCAACAGACCGCCUGGAAUACGUCCCUGCCCUUUGUACACACCGCCCGUCGCUCUUACCGAUGGACUACUCCAUGAGUCUGAGGGACUCGUCUCGUUACGGGAAACUUAGGCGAAUGGCAUGGUCUAGAGGAAAGAGAAGUCGUAACAAGGCAUCUGUAGGUGAAC
rnacentral:rRNA from 1 species